AUGGAGAGGAGGAAGGUAGGCCCAAAAUCCCACCCCUAGAGGAGGAGCUACUGGCAUUGAUAGCUGGGCGGAGAGCCAGUUUUCAUUAUGGAUAAGAGCCCUGUCUGCAGAACGCUGGUGUUAGAAACGCGUCGACAACUACCGCACAUCGUGAGUGAACAAAGCGGGGGGCCUAGAGGAGGUGCAGAAAGAACCACUGGCCCCUUCUUUUCUCUUGGCCUCCCCUCUCCGCGUCCAAACCCCUUCCCGAGAAUCCCUCACACACUGAGAGCUGCUCGGUGGCUGCAGGAGUUACCCUGUACAGACAGACAUUAGGGUUGGAUGCUCAGGCUUCAGAAAGCAGCUCCUCCUUCCGUGAUAGCUGUGUUGAAACGGCUCAACUUCCUCGCUCUGCCACUGACGUAUUGCUGCC
rnacentral:lncRNA from 1 species